rnacentral:rRNA from 1 species
GGUCUGGUCCUYCUAAGACUGGAUAGGAAAUUAGAAGGCAUCUUUUAAACACAUCUUGGGUUUUUAAAAGACCUUUUUCGAAAGGUAUACUUAAAGAGGGGCUUGCGGCACAUUAGUUAGUUGGUAGGGUAAAAGCCUACCAAGACCAUGAUGUGUAGCUGGACUGAGAGGUUGAACAGCCACAUUGGGACUGAGACACGGCCCAAACUCCUACGGGAGGCAGCAGUAGGGAAUUUUCGGCAAUGGAGGAAACUCUGACCGAGCAACGCCGCGUGAACGAUGAAGUAUUUCGGUAUGUAAAGUUUCUCUGCUCAUAAACCCCGGCAAACUAUGUGCCAGCAGCCGCGGUAAUACAUAGGGGGCGAGCGUUAUCCGGAAUUAUUGGGCGUAAAGGGUGCGUUUCGGAGAGCUCUGGGACUAGGCGGUUUGGUAAGUCUAUAGUUUAAUUUCAGUGCUUAACACUGUUCUGCUAUAGAAACUAUCAGACUAGAGUAAGAUAGAGGCAAGUGGAAUACCAUGUGUAGCGGUAAAAUGCGUAAAUAUAUGGAGGAACACCAGAGGCGUAGGCGGCUUGCUGGGUCUUUACUGACGCUGAGGCACGAAAGCGUGGGGAGCAAACAGGAUUGGGAUAUAGGCCGCCGAUCUACACUGAGACUACCCUGGUAGUCCACGCCGUAAACGAUGAGUACUAAGUGUCGGGGAAACUCGGUACUGAAGUUAACACAUUAAGUACUUCGCCUGAGUAGUACGUAAGCAAGUAUGAAACUUAAAGGAAUUGACGGGACUCCGCACAAGCGGUGGAUCAUGUUGUUAAAUUCGAAGAUACACGAAAAACCUUACCAGGUCUUGACAUACUCUGAAAAGCUAUAGCAAUAUAGUGGAGGUUAUCAGGGAUACAGGUGGUGCAUGGUUGUCGUCAGCUCGUGUCGUGAGAUGUUAGGUUAAGUCCUAAAACGAGCGCAACCCUUGUCACUAGCAUACUACGGGUCAGAUACGACGACACAUCAUAGAGAUACGAUCUUAGUGAGACUGCCAAUGAAGAAUUGGAGGAAGGUGAGGACCACGUCAAAUCAUCAUGCCUCUUAUGAUCUGGGCUACAAACGUGAUACAAUGGCUGUUACAAAGAGUAGCUAAAACGCGAGUUUAUAGCCAAUCUCAUAAAAGCAGUCUCAGUUCGGAUUGAAGUCUGCAACUCGACUUCAUAAAGUUGGAAUCGCUAGUAAUCGCGAAUCAGCAU